CUAGUUUUUGCCUUAAGGAAGGCCUCAUUCAAGAUUCAAAUAGAGUCUCCAGUAGGCUUCACUUAAUAGUCUCUGUAUUUCAGCUAUUCUCAAACUCACAGGAGGUUGCAGAGUAGCUGAUGAAGCUCCGUAAUUCACUCCUUAUACUACCACAUAUAGAAAGGAGAGACAGCCUCUCUCCUAGAAAAGCCAAUCAAACACCUGAUUUGUUUGGUUAUGAGUGAUGAGUGCUCCCCUGAACUGAGCCACGAGUCAAUAUGUUGAUAGAGUUAACCUGGUCAUGUUUCUCACCAAAGAGCUGGAGGUGCAGUUCCCCUAUCAGACCGAUUGGUUGAGGUGUGAGGGAUGAAGGAUGAUGGAUGCCCCAAGAAGUGCAGAACGAUGGCAGAAAGGGCGAAACGCAAGUGUUCACAUUAAUACAAUUCCUUUUGAUGACUUGUGACCUGAGCCAAGAGAACCACAAAUCAUUGGAAACUGCUGUCUUUAGACUGAAGCCCAUUAUAUAUUGUGAUUAUGUAGCCCAUUAAAUUCACAGUGUCAUCAAGAAGGGGAAUUGGGCACAGAACAGAGACGGCACCUGCAGUAGAACUACCAGAUGCAGCUAUUUCUGGUCAUCAAAAU
rnacentral:lncRNA from 1 species